rnacentral:rRNA from 1 species
AACGAACGCUGGCGGCGCGCCUAACACAUGCAAGUCGAGCGCGAAAGAGGGCUUCGGCUCUUGAGUAGAGCGGCAGACGGGUGAGUAACACGUGGGCAACCUGCCCCUGGGUGUGGGAUAACCGCUCGAAAGGGUGGCUAAUACCGCAUAAGACCACGGGUCUGCGGACCUGGGGUCAAAGGUUUCGAUCGCCUGGGGAGGGGCCCGCGGCCGAUUAGCUAGUUGGUGAGGUAAUGGCUCACCAAGGCGACGAUCGGUAGCUGGUCUGAGAGGAUGAUCAGCCACACUGGUACUGAGACACGGACCAGACUCCUACGGGAGGCAGCAGUGGGGAAUAUUGCGCAAUGGGCGAAAGCCUGACGCAGCAACGCCGCGUGGGUGAUGAAGGCCUUCGGGUCGCAAAGCCCUGUCAGGUGGGAAGAACCCGGCUUUCGAGCCGCUGACGGUACCACCGAAGGAAGCACCGGCUAACUCCGUGCCAGCAGCCGCGGUAA